AUUGAACGCUGGCGGAAUGCUUUACACAUGCAAGUCGAACGGCAGCACGGGGCAACCUGGUGGCGAGUGGCGAACGGGUGAGUAAUACAUCGGAACGUGCCCAAUCGUGGGGGAUAACGUAGCGAAAGUUACGCUAAUACCGCAUACGAUCUACGGAUGAAAGCGGGGGAUCGCAAGACCUCGCGCGAGUGGAGCGGCCGAUGUCAGAUUAGGUAGUUGGUGGGGUAAAGGCUCACCAAGCCAACGAUCUGUAGCUGGUCUGAGAGGACGACCAGCCACACUGGAACUGAGACACGGUCCAGACUCCUACGGGAGGCAGCAGUGGGGAAUUUUGGACAAUGGGCGCAAGCCUGAUCCAGCCAUUCCGCGUGCAGGAUGAAGGCCUUCGGGUUGUAAACUGCUUUUGUACGGUAACGAAACGGACGAGACGUCUAAUACAGUUGUCUAAUAGACGGUAACCGGUAACGAAUAAGUACACCGGCUAACUACGUAGCCACGCAGCCGCGGUAACCUACG
rnacentral:rRNA from 1 species